UACGUAGGGGGGCUAGCGUUGUCCGGAAUCAUUGGGCGUAAAGCGCGUGUAGGCGGCCCGGUAAGUCCGCUGUGAAAGUCGGGGGCUCAACCCUCGGAUGCCGGUGGAGUACUGUCGGGCUAGAGUACGGAAGAGGCGAGUGGAAUUCCUGGUGUAGCGGUGAAAUGCGCAGAUAUCAGGAGGAACACCAAUUGCGAAGGCAGCUCGCUGGGACGUUACUGACGCUGAGACGCGAAAGCGUGGGGAGCAAACAGG
rnacentral:rRNA from 1 species